AACAAACGCUGGCGGCGUGUCUUAAGCAUGCAAGUUGAGCGGCAAGGAGGAGAGAUCCUCCCUAGAGCAGCGGACUGGUGAGUAACGCGUGGGUAAUCUAUCUUAGGCAUGGGGAUAGUCACUAGAAAUAGUGGGUAAUACCGAAUAAGUUCCAUAAGGGGAGGACUUAUGGAAGAAAGGUGCUACGGCACUGGCCUUAGGUGAGCUCGCGUCCCAUUAGCUAGUUGGUGAGGUAAAGGCCCACCAAGGCGAUGAUGGGUAGCCGGCCUGAGAGGGUGUACGGCCACACUGGGACUGAGAUACGGCCCAGACUCCUACGGGAGGCAGCAGCUAAGAAUAUUCCGCAAUGGACGGAAGUCUGACGGAGCGACGCCGCGUGGAUGAAGAAGGCCGAAAAGGUUGUAAAAGUUCUUUUGCUAGGGGAGAAUAAGUGUGGGAGGGAAUGCCUGCACGAUGACAAGGACUAGCGAAUAAGUCCGGCCAACUACGUGCCAGCAGCCCG
rnacentral:rRNA from 1 species